AGUUAUCAUUAGUUUCAUUUCGAUGUUUGAAAAUUUAAUGCAUUUAUCUUCUUUUUAUUCUUCAUCUUUGUUAAUGACGUGGGCAAUAAUUCUAAGAGAAGUAAAAUUUAAAAACUGGGAGUAUCUGAACUCAACUUUUGGCUAAUUCAAGGUAGUGCCUGGUGGUGUGGAACAAUCAUUUUGAAAUUUCUGACAUCUAAAAUCUUGGGUGUUUCAGACCAUAUUCACCUGAGUGAUCUUAUAGCAGCCAGAAUCCAAGGCAUA